CUCUGCAGUGCUACUCACCUCUGCAAGCAGAGCAAUCAAUGGAACUGCCAGCCAGACUUUAUGAUUUUCAGAAAUUCACAGCCAAAGCUUCCAGUCAACUAGUGGGACUUACCACCAGGAAAAGAAUCCUUGAGGAAGACAAAGUACCACCGAUGCGGCAGAGAGGGCCUCAAGAUGGCUGUGGCUCAAAAGAGGGGAGCCAUGGAGUCAUAAGUAGCUAGCCAUCUGGACACAAGCUGGGGUCUGAUCAGCCCCAGCUGGGUCACCUGGAGGAGGUUGUAUGAUGUUGAAAGACCCGAAACACCCGAUGAUUCCAGGAACAUCACUGAAGAUAUGUCCAGAAGCAUCAAUAGAUGUAUGUACACAGCAGUAUACAAAAUUUAUGUUUUGCUAAAAUGAAUGCAAUGCAUAAUACUUUGUUCCUGCUCAUUGUGCAACUUUGCUUUGAAUGCCACCAGCAGCAUGCUGAUCACUAAUGCUG